AGCGAAUAGAUACCCCGGUAGUCCACGCUGUAAACGAUGCGCACUAGGUGUCGGGGGUAUCGACCCCUCGGUGCCGCAGCUAAACGCGAUAAGUGCGCCGCCUGGGGACUACGGCCGCAAGGCUAAAACUCAAAGGAAUUGACGGGGGCCCGGCACAAGCAGCGGAGCGUGUGGUUUAAUUCGACGCAACGCGAAGAACCUUACCUGGGCUUGACAUGCGUGUGGUACGGAGCCGAAAGGCCGAGGACCCGCAAGGGAGCACGCACAGAUGCUGCAUGGCUGUCGUCAGCUCGUGCCGUGAGGUGUUGGGUUAAGUCCCGCAACGAGCGCAACCCUCGCUGCCAGUUACCAUGUCUGGCGGGACCGCCGGGUCCAACCCGGAGGAAGGUGGGGAUGACGUCAAGUCAGCACGGCUCUUACGUCCAGGGCUACACACACGCUACAAUGGCCGGUACAACGCGCAGCGAUGGGGCGACCCGGAGCGAAUCGCAGCAAAGCCGGUCUCAGUUGGGAUUGCA
rnacentral:rRNA from 1 species